UUAUACGACUCUCGGCAACGGAUAUCUUGGCUCUCGCAUCGAUGAAGAACGUAGCGAAAUGCGAUACUUGGUGUGAAUUGCAGAAUCCCGCGAACCAUCGAGUCUUUGAACGCAAGUUGCGCCCGAGGCUAUCCGGCCGAGGGCACGUCUGCCUG
rnacentral:rRNA from 1 species